rnacentral:lncRNA from 1 species
CAACUGAAAACUCGCUGAAACUGAAACAGAAAACUGGAAACUAAAAGCACUGUAGCUACCGGAAAAAGCACUGUAGCUAUCGGAAAAAAUUCAAAGUUGUCGGAAUUGAAAAAUAAAAAUAUGGAUAGGCUCGGAAUUCGAGGGCGGUCAGACUGUCCUGAAGGAAGUUUUUGAAAUUCUGGCCGGAAAAGUCACUGUAGUCGCAGGAAAAAAUCAAAGUUGUCGGAAUCGAACAAAAAUAGGAUGGGUAGGG